AGGGGCUGUGCAAGCCGGUGCUUUUGAGCCCAAGCUGGAUUAAGACCCCUGCAGUUAAUCACGGCGGCCCGACAUGCAGCGACACCAUUUGAUAAAGGUGCAUGUCUUUGGAGGUGGGAGGAAGCCGGAGUACCCGGGGAGAACAUGCAAACUCCACACAGAAAGAUCCCGAGCCCAGGAUCGAACCCAGGACCUUCGUGUUGUGAGACACACGUACCAACCCCUGCCCCGUGCCAAAUAUUCACUUCAGAAUCAGGUUUGAAUCACGCGACUACAUUUAACUACUUCUACCAGCAGCUAUAGUGACCCUGAUAUGGCCUUAAAGGGGAACUGCACUUUUUUUGGUAAUCAUCAAUCAUCAUAAAAGACAAGACGACGGAUGUAUUUUUUUUUAAUGAAUUCUAACUCGUAAAUAAAAGUCUGCUUACAGCGAAGCCAAUGGAGGUCCUCUUUUCCGACCAAUAAAACCCAAUAAAAAAACAUCCGAAAAGCGUCAACAAUCAUGCCUCUCACCUGGAUAGAAGAAGGAUGAUGACAUAUUCCGACAAGUUGGUACACUUUGACAGCCAAUUUAGACACAAAAAGAUUGGUUCUACCCUCUUUUCUUUGCAAGGAUUAUGAGUGAUUCUUCAUCUAAAAGGGAAUCUAUGAACAUCCUAGAAGUCGGCAUCCUAAUGACAGCAGACCUCG